GGCGUAAAGAGCGUGUAGGCGGGUAGUUAAGUCAGAAGUGAAAUCCAAUAGCUCAACUAUUGAACUGCUUUUGAAACUGAUUACCUAGAAUAUGGGAGAGGUAGAUGGAAUUUCUGGUGUAGGGGUAAAAUCCGUAGAGAUCAGAAGGAAUACCGAUUGCGAAGGCGAUCUACUGGAACAUUAUUGACGCUGAGACGCGAAAGCGUGGGGAGCAAACAGGAUUAGAUACCCUGGUAGUCCACGCCCUAAACGAUGUAACACUAGUUGUUGUGAGGCUCGACCUUGCAGUAAUGCAAUUAACACAUUAAGUGUACCGGCUGGGGAGUAACGGUCCGCAAGAUUAAAACUCAAAGGAAUAAACGGGGACCCGCACAAGCGGUGGAGCAUGUGGUUAAAUUUCGACGAUACACGAAGAACCUUACCUGGACUUGACAUAGUAAGAACUUUCUAGAGAUAGAUUGGUGUCUGCUUGCAGAAACUUAUAUAACAGGUGCUGCACGGCUGUCGUCAGCUCGUGUCGUGAGAUGUUGGGUUAAGUCCCGCAACGAGCGCAACCCUCGUCAUUAGUUGCUAACAGUUCGGCUGAGAACUCUAAUGAGACUGCCUACGCAAGUAGGAGGAAGGUGAGGACGACGUCAAGUCAUCAUGGCCCUUACGUCCAGGGCUACACACGUGCUACAAUGGGGUAUACAAAGAGCCGCAAUACGGUGACGUGGAGCAAAUCUCAAAAAUAUCUCCCAGUUCGGAUUGUAGUCUGCAACUCGACUACAUGAAGUUGGAAU
rnacentral:rRNA from 1 species